AACGAACGCUGGCGGCGUGCCUAACACAUGCAAGUCGAGCGAGAAAGCCCGCAAGGGUGAGUAAAGCGGCGCACGGGUGCGUAACACGUGGGUAAUCUGCCCUGAAGUCCGGAAUAACUCGCCGAAAGGCGUGCUAAUGCCGGAUGAGACCACGGGAGCUUCGGCUCCUGCGGGAAAAGGUGGCCUCUGUAUACAAGCUAUCGCUUCAGGAUGAGCCCGCGGCCCAUCAGCUCGUUGGCGGGGUAAUGGCCCACCAAGGCUACGACGGGUAGCUGGUCUGAGAGGACGAUCAGCCACACUGGAACUGAGACACGGUCCAGACUCCUACGGGAGGCAGCAGUGGGGAAUCUUGCGCAAUGGGCGAAAGCCUGACGCAGCAACGCCGCGUGUGUGAUGAAGGUCUUCGGAUCGUAAAGCACUGUCGCGAGGGACGAAUAAGCUCUCGGCGAAUAUCCGGGAGCGAUGACGGUACCUCGAAAGGAAGCACCGGCUAACUCUGUGCCAGCAGCCGCGGUAAUACAGAGGGUGCAAGCGUUGUUCGGAAUUAUUGGGCGUAAAGCGCGUGUAGGCGGCCUAGCAAGUCGGGUGUGAAAGCCCUCGGCUUAACCGAGGAAGUGCGCCCGAAACUACUAGGCUUGAGUACCGGAGAGGGUGGCGGAAUUCCCGGUGUAGAGGUGAAAUUCGUAGAUAUCGGGAGGAACACCAGCGGCGAAGGCGGCCACCUGGACGGAUACUGACGCUGAGACGCGAAAGCGUGGGGAGCAAACAGGAUUAGAUACCCUGGUAGUCCACGCUGUAAACGAUGAGCGCUAGGUGUUGUGGGUGUUGACCCCUGCAGUGCCGCAGCUAACGCAUUAAGCGCUCCGCCUGGGAAGUACGGCCGCAAGGCUA
rnacentral:rRNA from 1 species